AUGAUGGCUCAGUUGGUAGAGCGUGGGACUUUUGUCCUCAAGGUCGUCGGUUCAAUUCCCGGUGU
rnacentral:tRNA from 1 species